rnacentral:misc_RNA from 1 species
GAUGAAGAACGUAGCGAAAUGCGAUACUUGGUGUGAAUUGCAGAAUCCCGUGAACCAUCGAGUCUUUGAACGCAAGUUGCGCCCGAAGCCAUUAGGCCGAGGGCACGCCUGCCUGGGCGUCACACGUCGUUGCCCCCCCAUCUACUCCUUCGGGAUUGCGGGGGGCGGAUGAUGGCCUCCCGUGCGCCUCGUCGCGCGGUUGGCAUAAAUGCCAAGUCCUUGGCGACGCACGCCACGACAAUCGGUGGUUGCGAAACCUCGGUUGCCCGUCGUGUGCGGUCGUCGCGCAUCGAGGGCUCGAAAAAAUUGCCGGGCUCCGGCUCGGCUUUCAACGCGACCCCAGGUCAGGCGGGGUUACCCGCUGAAUUUAAGCAUAUCAAUAAGCGGAGGA